rnacentral:tRNA from 1 species
GGGCGAUUAGCUCAGCUGGUUCAGAGCACUUGCCUUACAAGCAAGGGGUCACUGGUUCGAACCCAGUAUCGCCCA